ACAAACUGAAAUGGGGGAAGAGAGAGAGAUUAUUCGGCAGUAGUAGAUUUAUACUCACCAUGCUCGUAAAUGCCAUCUGCAGUCAGAUCUUUAUUCCGUCUUGAAAACAACUCUAUGAACUUGAGAGGGAAUAAGAAACAGCACAUGUAAUCCGUUGACCUUUGAUGUCUCAGAAGAAUUGCAAGUGGUCCAAGACGCUGAGAUAUGUUUGCUGAAGUCAGGAGAACUGAUGUACUUAUUCCUAUGACCCGAUGCAACUCUCAUAAGGAAACUAUCAGAAGGCAGAUGAAAGUACUACAUGUAAAUUGCCAUUGGAAGAUGUGAAAGAAAGAUUCAAGCUCCUUUUGUUUGCAGGAAGAGAGAGGUCAGACCAUCACAACAGAGCUCCGUACUGCUGAAAAUAUGACUAAAUUUAAAAGAUUCUAAUCAAGAUAGAACUGAGAUUAAAGUCCAGCCAUCUGAAGCUGCUUUUGCCCAGAAAGGGAGAGUGAAAACAAGGAGCAGAUCAGCAAUGGCCAGGUGCAGCAG